rnacentral:rRNA from 1 species
AACGAACGCUGGCGGCAUGCCUAACACAUGCAAAUCGAACGAGACCUUCGGGUCUAGUGGCGCACGGGUGCGUAACGCGUGGGAACCUGCCCUUAGGUUCGGAAUAACUCCCCGAAAGGGGUGCUAAUACCGGAUAAUGUCUUCGGACCAAAGAUUUAUCGCCUUUGGAUGGGCCCGCGUUGGAUUAGCUAGUUGGUAGGGUAAAAGCCUACCAAGGCGACGAUCCAUAGCUGGUCUGAGAGGAUGAUCAGCCACACUGGGACUGAGACACGGCCCAGACUCCUACGGGAGGCAGCAGUGGGGAAUAUUGGACAAUGGGCGAAAGCCUGAGCCAGCAAUGCCGCGUGAGUGAUGAAGGACUUAGGGUUGUAAAGCUCUUUUACCCGGGAUGAUAAUGACAGUACCGGGAGAAUAAGCUCCGGCUAACUCCGUG